rnacentral:rRNA from 1 species
CGGAACGGGUGAGUAACGCGUGAGGAACCUGCCUCAAAGAGGGGGACAACAGUUGGAAACGACUGCUAAUACCGCAUAAGCCCACGGCUCGGCAUCGAGCAGAGGGAAAAGGAGCAAUCCGCUUUGAGAUGGCCUCGCGUCCGAUUAGCUAGUUGGUGAGGUAACGGCCCACCAAGGCGACGAUCGGUAGCCGGAUGGGAGGUUGAACGGCCACAUUGGGACUGAGACACGGCCCAG